CAACAUUUCAGCUCCACUCAGGAGCUUUCAUCAGGACAGCAAACAUGUUUGCUGUCCUGAUGAAAGCUCCCGAGUGGAGCUGAAACGUC